rnacentral:rRNA from 1 species
AAACCAGCACCUCAAGUGGUCAGGAUGAUUAUUGGGCCUAAAGCAUCCGUAGCCUGCUCUGUAAGUUUUCGGUUAAAUCUGUACGCUCAACGUACAGGCUGCUGGGAAUACUGCAGAGCUCGGGAGUGGGAGAGGUAGACGGUACUCGGGAGGAAGUGGUAAAAUGCUUUGAUCUCUCGAUGACCACCUGUGGCGAAGGCGGUCUACCAGAACACGUCCGACGGUGAGGGAUGAAAGCUGGGGGAGCAAACCGGAUUAGAAACCCCGGUAGUCC